rfam:Daphnia magna strain Xinb3 scaffold02105, whole genome shotgun sequence.
GCGUUAGUGGUAUAACGGUUAGCAUUGUUGCCUUCCAAGCAAUAGACCCGGGUUCGACUCCCGGCUAACGCA